UACGUAGGGUGCAAGCGUUGUCCGGAAUUAUUGGGCGUAAAGAGCUCGUAGGCGGCUGCUCAAGUCGAAUGUGAAAACUCGAGGCUCAACCUCGAGCCUGCAUUCGAUACUGGGCGGCUAGAGUCUGGUAGGGGGAUCUGGAAUUCCUGGUGUAGCGGUGGAAUGCGCAGAUAUCAGGAGGAACACCGGUGGCGAAGGCGGGAUCCUGGGCCAGUACUGACGCUGAGGAGCGAAAGCGUGGGGAGCAACAGG
rnacentral:rRNA from 1 species